rnacentral:rRNA from 1 species
GACGAACGCUGGCGGCGUGCCUAAUACAUGCAAGUUGAGCGAUGAAGAUUGGUGCUUGCACCAAUUUGAAGAGCAGCGAACGGGUGAGUAACGCGUGGGGAAUCUGCCUUUGAGCGGGGGACAACAUUUGGAAACGAAUGCUAAUACCGCAUAACAACUUUAAACAUAAGUUUUAAGUUUGAAAGAUGCAAUUGCAUCACUCAAAGAUGAUCCCGCGUUGUAUUAGCUAGUUGGUGAGGUAAAGGCUCACCAAGGCGAUGAUACAUAGCCGACCUGAGAGGGUGAUCGGCAAAAUUGGGACUGAGACACGGCCCAAACUCCUACGGGAGGCAGCAGUAGGGAAUCUUCGGCAAUGGACGAAAGUCUGACCGAGCAACGCCGCGUGAGUGAAGAAGGUUUUCGGAUCGUAAAACUCUGUUGGUAGAGAAGAACGUUGGUGAGAGUGGAAAGCUCAUCAAGUGACGGUAACUACCCAGAAAGGGACGGCUAACUACGUG